AGAGUGAACGCUGGCGGCAGGCCUAAUACAUGCAAGUCGAACGGCAGCACGGCAGAGCUUGCUCUGUGGGUGGCGAGUGGCGGACGGGCGAGGAAUACAUGGGAAUCUGCCCAGUCGUGGGGGAUAACGUAGGGAAACUUACGCUAAUACCGCAUGCGCCCUUCGGGGGAAAGCCGGGGACCUUCGGGCCUGGCGCGAUUGGAUGAGCCCAUGUCGGAUUAGCUAGUUGGCGGGGUAACGGCCCACCAAGGCGACGAUCCGUAGCUGGUCUGAGAGGAUGAUCAGCCACACUGGAACUGAGACACGGUCCAGACUCCUACGGGAGCAGCAGUAGGGAAUA
rnacentral:rRNA from 1 species